rnacentral:rRNA from 1 species
AUUGAACGCUGGCGGCAUGCCUAACACAUGCAAGUCGAACGGUAACAGGCCCUUCGGGGCGCUGACGAGUGGCGGACGGGUGAGUAAUACUUAGGAAUCUACCCUGUAGUGGGGGACGAACCCGAGGAAACUCGGGCGUAAUACCGCAUACGCUCUACGGAGGAAAGCGGGGGACCGGCAAGGCCUCGCGCUAUUGGAUGAGCCUAAGCCCGAUUAGCUAGUUGGUGGGGUAAUGGCCUACCAAGGCAAUGAUCGGUAGCUGGUCUGAGAGGACGACCAGCCACACUGGGACUGAGACACGGCCCAGACUCCUACGGGAGGCAGCAGUGGGGAAUAUUGGACAAUGGGCGAAAGCCUGAUCCAGCGAUGCCGCGUGUGUGAAGAAGGCCUGC